GUGGGGAAUAUUGGACAAUGGGCGAAAGCCUGAUCCAGCCAUGCCGCGUGUGUGAAGAAGGUCUUCGGAUUGUAAAGCACUUUAAGUUGGGAGGAAGGGCAGUAAGUUAAUACCUUGCUGUUUUGACGUUACCGACAGAAUAAGCACCGGCUAACUUCGUGCCAGCAGCCGCGGUAAUACGAAGGGUGCAAGCGUUAAUCGGAAUUACUGGGCGUAAAGCGCGCGUAGGUGGUUCAGUAAGUUGGAAGUGAAAUCCCCGGGCGCAACCUGGGAACUGCUUUCAAAACUGCUGAGCUAGAGUACGGUAGAGGGUGGUGGAAUUUCCUGUGUAGCGGUGAAAUGCGUAGAUAUAGGAAGGAACACCAGUGGCGAAGGCGACCACCUGGACUGAUACUGACACUGAGGUGCGAAAGCGUGGGGAGCAAACAGGAUUAGAAACCCCUGUAGUCC
rnacentral:rRNA from 1 species